rnacentral:rRNA from 1 species
ACACGUGGAUAACCUGCCUCAAGGCUGGGGAUAACAUUUGGAAACAGAUGCUAAUACCGAAUAAAACUUAGUAUCGCAUGAUACAAAGUUAAAAGGCGCUACGGCGUCACCUAGAGAUGGAUCCGCGGUGCAUUAGUUAGUUGGUGGGGUAAAGGCUUACCAAGACAAUGAUGCAUAGCCGAGUUGAGAGACUGAUCGGCCACAUUGGGACUGAGACACGGCCCAAACUCCUACGGGAGGCUGCAGUAGGGAAUCUUCCACAAUGGGCGCAAGCCUGAUGGAGCAACGCCGCGUGUGUGAUGAAGGCUUUCGGGUCGUAAAGCACUGUUGUAUGGGAAGAAAUGCUAAAAUAGGGAAUGAUUUUAGUUUGACGGUACCAUACCAGAAAGGGACGGCUAAAUACGUGCCAGCAGCCGCGGUAAUACGUAUGUCCCGAGCGUUAUCCGGAUUUAUUGGGCGUAAAGCGAGCGCAGACGGUUGAUUAAGUCUGAUGUGAAAGCCCGGAGCUCAACUCCGGAAUGGCAUUGGAAACUGGUUAACUUGAGUGUUGUAGAGGUAAGUGGAACUCCAUGUGUAGCGGUGGAAUGCGUAGAUAUAUGGAAGAACACCAGUGGCGAAGGCGGCUUACUGGACAACAACUGACGUUGAGGCUCGAAAGUGUGGGUAGCAAACAGGAUUAGAUACCCUGGUAGUCCACACCGUAAACGAUGAAUACUAGGUGUUAGGAGGUUUCCGCCUCUUAGUGCCGAAGCUAACGCAU